rnacentral:lncRNA from 1 species
UGAGUGCCUUGUUCCAAGCUUAUGUGAUGCUACAACUAGUGUUUGUGUGAACACAGUAGGAAGCUUCAACUGCAUGUGUAAUACUGGCUAUCAACAUCCAAGUCCUGGAACAACGAUAUGUGUUUAUGUGGAUGCAUGCGAUGAUGGAAGCCAUACGUGUGAUACUACAACAAGUAUUUGUGCGAACAAUCUAGAAAGCUUUACAUGCGUGUGUUAUCCUGGCUAUAAACUGCAAACUGGUAGCACAACGACAUGUGAUGAUAUCGAUGAGUGCUUGAGCAACCCCUGUAUGAAUGGAGGGACCUGCAUGGACUUGGUCAAUAGAUACACAUGUUCAUGUCCGGAAGGAUUCAACGGAACAUUCUGUGAAG